CACUGAUGUUAAGUAAGCCCUGUGAUACAACAAUAAAGGAAGUUUGCCAACGGUUUGCUUUCUUCAGUAUGUACAUCACGAUGGCGAGGACGUGAAGCCCUGGGCGAGAGUGAUGGGUUCAUGAAGAUUAAAAACUGCAGAGUCUGGUUCCACGUGUAAGGAGGCUGGGAGUCCCCACUCCGUCUCAACAACAAGUAAAAGCUGAGCAGCCUGAAAAAUCAACAGUUCUUCUUGGAUCUGUAAGAGAGGGGAGGAAAGCAGAGCAAACCGCUGCCCCCAGGAUGGGAGAGACGAGCGAAUACAAGGAGUCACGGCUACCACAGCAGAGACUUGGGAGUGGAAACCUCGCGGGAACCAGUGUCGGAGUAGGAAAACAGGAACUGCAGCUGACAAAUUGCUGGAGGCUCCGUGUGGACAAGUCUGAGGGUUAAAAACUCCAGGGGGUCCAGUCAUAAGGGGGUCCCCACACUACAUGGUGGUAUUUCUCUCCAGGAGCUUGACCAGAUUCCCACAGUGAAUACUGGAGAAGGAUCCCCUCGGUUUCCAGCCGGGGAAGAGGAACCGUUGUGAAAUUAGCCAGAGUACUUCGUUUUUCUUUGCAAGGCCUGCCCUCAGGGCAACGAGUUAGCCACAGCCUAACCUGCUGGGGUGUUAUCAGAGCCUAACUGACCUGGGGAUGGGAAAUAACCAAUUCCAGCCAUCCUGUGCACCUAAGGGAGGAGAAAAAACUGAGAAGCAUUUGUGAAGUUCACAGUCCAGAGACAUAGGCUCAUUGAAAGACUGAGACCUAAUCACAGAACUAUAGAAUGCUUCCCCUCCCCCAACUCCUCACCACAUUACUAAAGGCCCACUUAUAGCAUUUCCUUUUACCCGGUACAUCAUGUCCAACUAUCAAGAAAAAAUUAACGAGGCGUACCAGAAGGCACAAAACAUAGUUUGAAGAGACAAAGCAGCCAUCAGAACCAGACAUAGCAGGAAUGUUGGAAUUAUCAGCCCAGGAAUUUAAAACAACUCCAGUUAAUAUGCUAAGGAGUCCGAUGCAUAAAACCGCAUGUAAGAACAGAUGGACAGUGGAAGCAGAGAGAUGGUAAUACUAAAAAGAACCAAAAAGUAAUGCUAGAGAUCAAAAAACACUGUAACAAAUGAAGAAUGCCUUUGAUGGGCUUGUUAGUAGACUGGACACAGCUGAGGAAAAACAGCUCUGAUCAAUGGAAUCCUCAAACACCAAAAAGCAAAGAAAGACUGAAAAAAGCGACAACAUAAUAUACAAGGACUGUGGGGCAACUAAAAAAGGUGUAAUACACACGUAAUUGGGACUACCAGGAGGAGGAGAAAAAGGAACAGAAGAAAUAUUUGAAACGAUAAUGACUGAGAAUUUCUGCAAGUCAAUAUCAGACAUCAAGCCAUAGAUCCAGGCAGCUCAGAGAACACCAAGCAAGAUAAAUAGCCCCCAAAAACUACAACUUGGCAUAUCAUCUUCAAAUUACAGAAAAUCAAAAAUAAAGAAAAAAUCCUGAAAGAAGCUAGACCAAAAAAACAGCUUUCCUAUAGAGAAACAAAGAUAAGAAUUAUGUCCAAAUU